UGUACAUGUCUCUUUGAACUAUGUCAAUAUGAGGCACAAUUUCUAUAGCCUAGAUGCUAUAGGCACCACCUCGCCUACAUAAAACUCACUGGCCUCGCUAGUAUCCAGAUACAAGCUGGCAAUGGUCAUGGCGACGCCAGUGAGCCUCUUGGCGUCUUCUUCCGUGUUCGAUGGAGCUGCAGCCGAUCCUCUUCACUGGAUAAUUCAUAGUUAGUAUGUACAUACCUAAGCCUGAUGCGGUGAAACAGCCCCAGACCAUGAUCGAAGC
rnacentral:sRNA from 1 species